CGAUGAUACAUCUGAGUGAGUGACACUUGUGGUGAGGGUAUCAUUGUUAUUGAGCUUCUAGGUUUUGAUUCGGUUACCAGAAGCAUGGAUAGAUUGUGGAGGAAGUUGAAGAGGUUAAAGGAGAAAGAGAAGAAAAUGAAGGUGAGAGUACCAUCCUUUGUGCUUGAGUAGAAUUAUGUCGCUUAAGCGUUCUAAUUGACACCAGAGCGACAAUCGUUGGUUGCGAAGAAUCCAAUACAUUCUGCAGAACUCUUCAACUACUUUUGGGUACUCUAGCAUUCAUUUAAUGCUUCAACACUCAUG
rnacentral:lncRNA from 1 species